CAUAAUUUUAUUUCUUUCUAUGAUAAAUAAUUUCUCUCUGGUCUCUGCACCAGUUUAUCUCUCGUUCUGUGGUCAUCUCUCGUUCUCGGUUCUUUAGCCAUGGGACGUGGUAGAAAGCGGCAGCUACCGGAGUUAACCCUUGAUAUGUCGACGGAACUGCCGGAAACCGACGGCAAUUCCCCGGAGUGUUGUGGAUCCAAGUCGGAGCAUGCAUGAGGCGGCGAUGUUUUGCCACAGGACGCAAUCUUCGGAAAAUCAAGAACUCUACAGUGUAAUCGGCGACGUAAACCGCGAUAAACCAUAA
rnacentral:misc_RNA from 1 species